rnacentral:lncRNA from 1 species
CUUAACAUCUUGAGAAGUCAUGGGAAAAAUAAGCAUUUCCUGGCAAGCACUGUGUGAAGUAACCAUCCUUUUGGCAAAGAGAAGCUCAGCUUAUACCAAAAUGGAUGUCAUUUUCAAGCUAUGCAGUGGGAUGGUCUGGCAAGAAACUGGACUGGAUUACCUCUUGGUUAGCUCUUUUAACAGAACUUCUAGUGUUUACAGGGAUUUCUUCAUUUGUAGACCACUGUUGGUGAUAAAAACCUUUAGUCACUUGGGAUCUCAUCUGCCUAAACCUGUCCUGAGGAGAGAAGCAUGA